GGACCACACCCCGCGGGCACGAGUCCGAUUGGCAGAUUGUCGCCGAGUGAUUUCAACGGUGACGCCCCCACCCGAAUGCCUCGCUGGGAUUGGCUCAUUUCUUGAUUCAGACCUGGACGGUGGCCAGAGGAGGACAAGAGGCUUUCACACAGAACGGAGGUGAUGUGGACGACAGCGGAGACGCAGCCGCACUUGAACAAGCGAUCGGGCCCCGGGGACAUGGCGGCAGCCUCUGCACCGUCAGUGUUGCUCGCGGCUGCAAGAAACUGGUGGCGGCACUGCCUGAGCCCGCUGCUGUUGCCAAGGUGACGGGGCAUAAAGCGGCGGUCGAUCGAGUCUCACUUCAUCACCCAGGCUGGAGUGCAGUAGCAUUAUCUGAGAUCACUAUAGUCUCCACCACUCGGAUUCAAGCGAUUAUCUUGCCUCAGCCUCCCGAGUAGUAGCUGGGAGUACAGGCGUGUGCUAUCAUGCCCAGCUAAUUUUUGUAUUUUUGGUAGAGACCUGGUUUUGCCUUGUUGGCCAGGCUGGUCUCGAACUUCUGACCUCAAGUGAUCCACCUGCCUCGGCCUUCUAAAGUGCUGGGAUUACAGGCGUGAACCACUUAGCCUGGUCAGUUAUUGUCUCUUUUUAAAGAUUGUGUUGCUUUCUGCCUCAAUAUUAAUACGUUGGAAAUUACCAAGAAGUUCAUGACAGAUCUAUUUCACAUUCUGGUGAAGAAGGAAGAAUUGGCCCUUGAAGGAGUCAAUGUUUUACAAUAAUUUUGGAAGAGGGUAGUGACAGAAGGAAGAAAACAUUGUCAGGAGGGAAUUCAGAUAAAGGACAAACCAUGUUUUGACUGCUACUGACUUGUUGAACUGGCAGUAGGGGUCAACUUGGGAAGACAGCUGUGACCAUAAAUAUUAAAGAAGACAAAAGGAUUCUUUGUGACACUGAGACCUUCUGCAGUACUACAGUGGGGGAAAUGCCGGCGUACACAGCUGGCCUCAUGUAAUUCCUGGGAUGAGAUCAUUUGGGAUGCAGUGCUGGCUGUUGCUGAGCAGGCGAUCACAAUGCGUACUGUGUUUCUUUCCUUGAGAAUAUUUGAAUCUCGCCUGAGUACUCAUAACAGAUGAGAAACACAGGUUUUGAUAGCAUAGAUUCACGCUAUCAUUAGUCAUGAGCUCUUGGGAGCAAAGUAUUGGUUUUAUCCUCUUUAGAGUUAGACCUUGUGGUUGGGUAUGAAAGAUGAGUGUCUGUAAAAAUCUUUCUUAGAAAUGUAUUUCCUCAAGACUCUGUCUCAAAAAAAAAAAAAAUGAUUUCCUAGUUCUGUAAAAGUCGCUAUAUUGAGUGUUCUCUAUCACUUAAUAAUAUACUUACUUUGUUAUUAAGUGGACUUAAAGAUAUGCGGUGUAUAAAAUCAGCUAAUUAUGUUAAACCAUGGUGUCUCCCUUUAUUGUGUUAGGCUGAAUAGAACAAACUUUAAAAUAAUUUUUUAAAGAAAAUAUUUGAAUUCAUUUUGUUUGGUGUUAUGUUUUUAUUCAGAAAAGCAUUUUAUUAGUGCUAGGUGUGAACCGGAGCCUUUUGCUAAAUACCAGCAGCAAUCACGUCCUAGAGUUAAAUCCCAGAAAACUUGCCAUAUUGUAUAUUAAAGGUUCAAUAAAUUACAAUAAAGUAUUCUUUCUUUAAA